rnacentral:rRNA from 1 species
AUGAUGGGUCGGUUCCGGUGUACUAUCAACGACCUCGCGCUCAAAGAGGUCUACCUCAACGGCCGGCGUUUCACGUGGUCCAACGAGCAGUCACCCCCAACCCUGGUGCACCUCGACCGCGUCCUCUGUACCCCCGACUGGGAGGAACUGCAUGGGGAGUGCCACCUCCGAUGCCUCGCCUCCGUUGUUUCCGAUCACAGCCCCUUGCUGCUUGAUUGCAAACCGGUGCCGCCAGGUCAUCGAUGA